rnacentral:rRNA from 1 species
AGAGUUUGAUCAUGGCUCAGAACGAACGCUGGCGGCAGGCUUAACACAUGCAAGUCGAGCGCCCAGCAAUGGGAGCGGCGGACGGGUGAAUAACGCGUGGGAAUAUGCCCUUUGGUACGGAACAACUCAGGGAAACUUGAGCUAAUACCGUAUGAGCCGGUAACGGGAAAGAUUUAUCGCCAAAGGAUUAGCCCGCGUCCGAUUAGCUUGUUGGUGAGGUAAUGGCUCACCAAGGCACCGAUCGGUAGCUGGUCUGAGAGGACGACCAGCCACACUGGGACUGAGACACGGCCCAGACUCCUACGGGAGGCAGCAGUGGGGAAUCUUGGACAAUGGGGGAAACCCUGAUCCAGCCAUGCCGCGUGAGUGAUGAAGGCCUUAGGGUUGUAAAACUCUUUCGACGGGGACGAUAAUGACGGUACCCGUAGAAGAAGCUCCGGCUAACUUCGUGCCAGCAGCCGCGGUAAUACGAAGGGGGCUAGCGUUGUUCGGAAUUACUGGGCGUAAAGCGCGCGCAGGCGGCCUUCCAAGUCAGGGGUGAAAGCCCAGAGCUCAACUCUGGAAUUGCCUUUGAAACUGUGAGGCUUGAGUACGGGAGAGGUGAGUGGAAUUCCCAGUGUAGAGGUGAAAUUCGUAGAUAUUGGGAAGAACACCGGUGGCGAAGGCGGCUCACUGGCCCGUAACUGACGCUCAGGCGCGACAGCGUGGGGAUCAAACAGGAUUAGAUACCCCCGUAGUCC